GGACUAUCGAGGACCAGCUCAGAUACCAACAGAUCCUAUUCUUCAGGGAAACAGCUGCUAAGUGAUGCGUUAUUAUUCAUGAAAACACAUAUAAGAAUGUGAUCACUGUAACUUACAGAUGGUUUUGAAAAAUAUUUUUCAUACCAAAGCAAAAGCAGAUGUUUUGUUCUGUUAAAUAAAGGAAUAAGCGGUGUUGAUGAGAUAUAUAAAAAGAGUAAGUUAGAAUGAACGCUUUUAGUUUUGAAAGACGUAAACGGUGCUUAUACUGCCUACAAAGGGGGGCUUUCCUGAGCUGAAGUUCUGGGUUCCUGGAAAGCCCCAGGUCUGAUUUUAACACCAUUUCAUUGACAGCCAUAAAACUCCAGAAAGUGAUUAAUAAAAUCUAAUAUUGAGAGAGAAAACAGAUCUUCACCUGUGUAUAUCCAAUGACUCAUUCUAUUGAUCCUCUCAGUUAUGUAAUUACAAAUGUAACUUACAAGAGGUGUUCUGAAUAGCAGACAAAUAUAGAAUGGAAGGGGCCAUAAAGUUUACCCGAUGGCUGUAUCACCUGUUCUCUUUGCCCCUUAGCAAAUGCUUCCUAUGCUUCCUGGCAUUGGGAGGUUCAGUUGCAGCAGGUCUAGUCCAGGUUCUUGUGGGCCACGUGGAACUGUGAUUUGGAACACGAGUCUCAUUAAUUUAGCUUACCUGUAUUCGGCGUGGCAUGGGGUGACAUCCAGGAUUCCCACCUGAUUCACCUCAUUGGAAAGGAUAACCUUGAUCACUCUCUGAUUACUACAUCCACAGAUGUGAUUUUCUUGUAUUUUAUAGGACAAAUGUCACAUUAUAUUAUAUCAAAUGGAUAUAUUUAUAAAUAUAUAUUUUAAUUUAAAC